rnacentral:lncRNA from 1 species
AUGGCAAAUUUAAAUGAUGAUGUCGAUUUUAUUUCUAAUGUACACAUUCCUUACAGAGACUCGAAGUUAACAAGACUGCUAAAAAACAGCUUAAAUAAAAAUUCGUGUACUUACAUUUUAAUCUGUUUAAAUUUAAAAUGCCAUAAAAUAAAUGAUUUCAUUAAUAGUUUGAUUUUUGCAAAAAGGUGUAAAAUGAUCAGGCAAAAUAUUAAAAAAAAUAAUAAUAAAAAGAAAAAUGUAUGUUCAAGUAAUUCUGAUAGUUUUAUGAGCAAUUCCUCAUUAAGUUAUGACGAUUAUGAAAGUUUUGAUUCCAGUUGUGACGUUUUUAAUUUUUUGAGUAAAAAAAGUAAAAAAGACGAUGAAGAACAAAAUGAUUUAUUUGUGAAUAAUGAUUUAUACAAAAAAAAAUUAAAAAUGUUAAAUUAUAAAAGUGAUAUAGUAAUUAAUAAACUGUUAGUUAUAUUUACUGAUAUUAUACGAAAAAUGUAUAACGAUUUAGUAAAAGAAAAAAAUGCUAUAAAAAAUAAUUUAAUUAAAAUAAUUAAAUAUGAAGAAGAAAAUCAAAAUGAAUUAAAAAAACAAAAAAAGUACUUACUUAAAGUUUUAAAUAAAAAAAAUAAAAAAUUAUUUAACAUUAAAGAACAUUUAAAUGAAAUUACACAAUUAAAAAAAAAAGAAUCUCCAAAAGUUUUAAAUACAUAUAACUCUUUACAUGAAACGAAAUGUAGCAAUACUGAUAUGAUUAAUUCAUUAAAUAACUGGAUAAAUAAAAAAGAUGAGGAACAAAAUUUAAAUAUAAUUAAUGAUAAUGUAAACCAUAAAUUGGAUCCCGAUGAAGAUUGUGUAUACAAUUACCAGUGUUCUUCUGCUUAUAAAGAACAAAUGGAUGUGAGUCUUUCACCCAAUAGGGAUGACAAUAGUAGACAAAGUAAUUACAUUAAUGACAGUAAUGACAGUAGUGAUAGUAACGAGAGUAGUGGGAGUAACAAGAGUAGUGGGAGUAACGAGAGUAGUGGGAGUAACGAGAGUAGUGAGAAUAGUCACAAACAAAAAAAAGACAAAACAAAAUCCUCCAAACAAAAUGAUGAAAUAACAACAGCAAUGACAAAAAUGGAAAUAAAUCCUAUUUAUGAUACUAUAACAAAAAAUAAAGAUGUUAUAAACAAUAUAUAUAAAAAUAUAGAUCAAAUAUUAAAAAUAGAGUUAAAUAAAUUAAAUAAAAAAAUAAAACUUAUUAUAAAAAUAAAUUUUUUAAACAUUUCCUUAUUUACAAAUAUUCAAACUUUAACAAAAAUCUUGCAAAAUGUAUAUCUUAAAAAAUAUAAUAUAAUACUUCAAAGUGGAAAAAAAGUAUUAAAUAUAACAAAGUAUGAUUAUGCAAAAUUUAAAAAAUUAUAUGAUAAUGAUGAUCUUACAAAAGACGUACAAAAAAAUAAUUUAUGUAGUGAGAGUACUGUUGAUUUGGAGAGUGUAGAUAAAAACUUAGUUUCUCUUUAUAAAAGAAUAAAUGAAAAUUGUGUAAAACAGAAGGAAAACAGGUGCUAAAAAGGUAGCACCUGUGUUAUGUUUUUACUGUGGUUGGGACUAGGAUCGCUAUCAUCAUUCUAUUAUAUAUAUAUAUAUUUAUACAUUUAUACAUUUAUGCUUAUGUGCACAGUUGCGCUAAAAUUAAUUUGGUAUAAAUUUUUACACAUAAUUAUAUACUUCAUGUUAAUUCCCUUGUUCUAAGUUUGGAUUUUCAUAUCAUAUAAUACUAUCUUUGUAUAUGUUUUGACCUAACCAAUUUAAUUAACCCUUUUUUAUGAAUAUACAUGUAAAUAUUUAUUUUUUUUUUUUUUUUACAAAUUGCAAAUGCAUCUACCCUUAUUUCACAUUUCUUAAUUUUUUUUUUUUUUUUUUUUUUUUUUUUUGUAUAAAAAUACGCACCUUGAAAUAUUCUAUGUCAUAUUGAAAAAUAUUGUUUAUGUCUAUGUUUUUUUUUACAAUAGAAAGAGGUCGAAUGUCUAUUUAUUUUGUAAAAAAAUAAAAAUAACCCGUAGAAAGGUAUUAAUCA